rnacentral:rRNA from 1 species
UACGUAGGGGGCAAGCGUUGUCCGGAAUCAUUGGGCGUAAAGAGCGUGUAGGUGGCUCGGUAAGUCCGCUGUGAAAGUCCAGGGCUCAACCCUGGAAAGCCGGUGGAAACUGUCGAGCUCGAGUCCGGAAGAGGCGAGUGGAAUUCCUGGUGUAGCGGUGAAAUGCGCAGAUAUCAAGAGGAACACCAGUGGCGAAGGCGAGUCCCUGGACGAUACCUGACACUGAGGCACGAAAGCCAAGGGAGCAAACAGG